UCCGGUUUAUCACCAGCAGUCUCCUUAAAGUUCCCGUCUUACACGUUGGCAAAUAAGGACAAGGGUUGCGCUCGUUACGGGACUUAACCCAACAUUUCACAACACGAGCUGACGACAGCCAUGCAGCACCUGUCUCAAAGUUCCCUAAGGCACCCUUCCAUCUCUGGAAAGUACUUUGGAUGUCAAGAGUAGGUAAGGUUCUUCGCGUUGCAUCGAAUUAAACCACAUGCUCCACCGCUUGUGCGAGCCCCCGUCAAUUCAUUUGAGUUUUAGCCUUGCAGCCGUACUCCCCAGGCGAUCAACUUAUCGCGUUAGCUUCGCCACUCAAUUCUUUAAGAACCCAACGGCUAGUUGAUAUCGUUUACAGCGUGGACUAC
rnacentral:misc_RNA from 1 species